CCUACGGGUGGCUGCAGUGGGGAAUAUUGGACAAUGGGGGGAACCCUGAUCCAGCCAUGCCGCGUGUGUGAAGAAGGCCCUCGGGUUGUAAAGCACUUUCAGUGAGGAAGAACGCCUGGUGGUUAAUACCCAUCAGGAAAGACAUCACUCACAGAAGAAGCACCGGCUAACUCCGUGCCAGCAGCCGCGGUAAUACGGAGGGUGCGAGCGUUAAUCGGAAUUACUGGGCGUAAAGCGCGCGUAGGUGGCUUGAUAAGCCGGUUGUGAAAGCCCCGGGCUCAACCUGGGAACGGCAUUCGGAACUGUCAAGCUAGAGUGCAGGAGAGGAAGGUAGAAUUCCCGGUGUAGCGGUGAAAUGCGUAGAGAUCGGGAGGAAUACCAGUGGCGAAGGCGGCCUUCUGGACUGACACUGACACUGAGGUGCGAAAGCGUGGGUAGCAAACAGGAUUAGAUACCCUUGUAGUC
rnacentral:rRNA from 1 species